rnacentral:rRNA from 1 species
GAUGAACGCUGGCGGCGUGCCUAAUACAUGCAAGUCGAGCGAACGGACGAGAAGCUUGCUUUUCUGAUGUUAGCGGCGGACGGGAGAGUAACACGUGGAUAACCUACCUAUAAGACUGGGAUAACUUCGGGAAACCGGAUCUUAUACCGGAUAAUAUUUUGAACCGCAUUGUUCAAAAGUGAAAGUCGGUCUUGCUGUCACUUAUAGAUGGAUCCGCGCUGCAUUAGCUAGUUGGUAAGGUAACGGCUUACCAAGGCAACGAUGCAUAGCCGACCUGAGAGGGUGAUCGGCCACACUGGAACUGAGACACGGUCCAGACUCCUACGGGAGGCAGCAGUAGGGAAUCUUCCGCAAUGGGCGAAAGCCUGACGGAGCAACGCCGCGUGAGUGAUGAAGGUCUUCGGAUCGUAAAACUCUGUUAUUAGGGAAGAACAUAUGUGUAAGUAACUGUGCACAUCUUGACGGUACCUAAUCAGAAAGCCACGGCUAACUACGUG